rfam:Erwinia iniecta strain B120 contig000022, whole genome shotgun sequence.
CCUGGCGGCUGUAGCGCGGUGGUCCCACCUGACCCCAUGCCGAACUCAGAAGUGAAACGCCGUAGCGCCGAUGGUAGUGUGGGGCCUCCCCAUGCGAGAGUAGGGAACUGCCAGGC